rnacentral:rRNA from 1 species
GACGAACGCUGGCGGCGUGCCUAAUACAUGCGAGUUGAGCGCUGAAGGUUGGUACUUGUACCAACUGGAUGAGCAGCGAACGGGUGAGUAACGCGUGGGGAAUCUGCCUUUGAGCGGGGGACAACAUUUGGAAACGAAUGCUAAUACCGCAUAAAAACUUUAAACACAAGUUUUAAGUUUGAAAGAUGCAAUUGCAUCGCUCAAAGAUGAUCCCGCGUUGUAUUAGCUAGUUGGUGAGGUAAAGGCUCACCAAGGCGAUGAUACAUAGCCGACCUGGGAGGGUGAUCGGCCACAUUGGGACUGAGACACGGCCCAAACUCCUACGGGAGGCAGCAGUAGGGAAUCUUCGGCAAUGGACGAAAGUCUGACCGAGCAACGCCGCGUGAGUGAAGAAGGUUUUCGGAUCGUAAAACUCUGUUGGUAGAGAAGAACGUUGGUGAGAGUGGAAAGCUCAUCAAGUGACGGUAACUACCCAGAAAGGGACGGCUAACUACGU